rnacentral:rRNA from 1 species
AGUUGCUGGCGACCGGCAAACGGGUGCGGAACACGUACGCAACCUACCCAAAACUGGGGAAUAGCCCGGGGAAACCCGGAUUAAUACCUCGUAACCUAUUGGAGUGGCAUCACUUUAAUAGUAUAGCUCCGGCGGUUUUGGAUGGGCGUGCGCCUGAUUAGGUAGUUGGUGAGGGUAACGGCCCACCAAGCCUGCGAUCAGUAACUGGUGUGAGAGCACGACCAGUCACACGGGCACUGAGACACGGGCCCGACUCCUACGGGAGGCAGCAGUAAGGAAUAUUGGUCAAUGGACGCAAGUCUGAACCAGCCAUGCCGCGUGAAGGAUGAAGGUCCUCUGGAUUGUAAACUUCUUUUAUAUGGGACGAAACCCGGGAAUUCUUUCCCGAUUGACGGUACCAUAAGAAUAAGCACCGGCUAACUCCGUGCCAGCAGCCGCGGUAAUACGGAGGGUGCAGGCGUUAUCCGGAUUCACUGGGUUUAAAGGGUGCGUAGGAGGGUAGGUAAGUCAGUGGUGAAAUCUUCGAGCUUAACUCGGAAACUGCCGUUGAUACUAUCUAUCUUGAAUACCGUGGAGGUGAGCGGAAUAUGUCAUGUAGCGGUGAAAUGCUUAGAUAUGACAUA